CAGUAGCCGCGGUAAUACGAAGGGGGCUAGCGUUGUUCGGAAUUACUGGGCGUAAAGCGCGUGUAGGCGGGUCUUUAAGUCAGGGGUGAAAUGCCAAGGCUCAACCUUGGAACUGCCUUUGAUACUGGGGAUCUUGAGCCCGGGAGAGGUGUGUGGAAUUGCGAGUGUAGAGGUGAAAUUCGUAGAUAUUCGCAAGAACACCAGUGGCGAAGGCGGCUCACUGGCCCGGAACUGACGCUGAGACGCGAAAGCGUGGGGAGCAAACAGGAUUAGAUACCCCCGUAGUCCCUGUCUCUUAUAC
rnacentral:rRNA from 1 species